rnacentral:lncRNA from 1 species
GCAUCAGCGACACCGGAUUGCUAUGGCGAAAGGACGUGGCUACUGUUUGAUACUAUUUACGCUCGCAUCUUCGGCGGUGUUGGGCGAACGAGACCUAAUGGCACUCAAGUUAUUAAGACAACUGUGGAAAUACAGUUGUGAGGAGCCACUUAUGGAACCAGUGGGGGACUGCACCGCUACUAUAAACAAGUACUUCUUCAAUAAAACCGCGAAGAUGUGUCAAAAGUUUUAUUGGAACGGCUGCCUUACCAGAGGCGUGUACCAAACCCGCUACGAAUGUGCACUCAGAUGCAACGUUGGUGAAGCAGCAGCAUUCUGUGCAGCGACUCCUCCUUGCGGAUGCGGUGGAAAAAAAAACUAGUCGAGGCUGGAGACAUCGUUACGAAAUGGAUGCCUUCUACUACGACAUCCGUAAGAGGACGUGUACGCCUUUUAAGUUCUGUGGGCCUCCGGUACCACCAGACUCAAACUUCUUCACCAGCUUGUCGAUGUGUAUCAUGGAAUGCGAAGGAUUUCCCUUCGGAGAAUAAGAACCACAGCACGGGUUUUCUUCAACUCAGCCAAGUUGUUCAAGUGUGCUGUAAUAAAAUACUUAUAACGG